UGGCCCCGGUCCAGCCUGCCGUUCGAGUCCACCUCUGCUGCUCUCCCUGCCCAGCAGGCCUCCCUCCACCUCUCCCUGCAAGCGCUCCCUCACAUCGAUCUCCCGAGACACGGCAGCGCCUUCCUCCUCACAACCGCUGCGCCAUCUUCAGUCCAUGCCCACACGCUCCCUCUCCACUACAUCCACUCUGCCAGCUCUGCUCCUCCUUGCUCUCUAACACGCACGCUUGAAGACCGUGGAGGCCGGUGACAGAGUCGUCGUCUGGAAGACGGGAAGAGGAAAGUUUGGGGGAAGCACGCUUGGAUGUUGAUUGGUUUAUGCUUUAUCCAAAAUGCCCUAAAGAUUUUAAUUUUUAAUCAAUCAUUGUUGCUUGCAGAGACUGCGUCUCACGAUUUGAAGCGAUUUGUGUUGUUGAAGCUUUGAUUAAGCAAGCUGUUUCUGUUCACUUUAUACGAAGUAGGAUUAUGGCUACACUGAUUCUUUCUUCCUCGGUGGAGUACAAUUGGUGGCCUUAUAUACAUGAUGUGGGCGUCAUUUUUCUGAUUGCCUCUGAAUGCCUAUAUCCAUUUUCUAGGGUCAUGCCUUCGGAUAAUGAAGGAGAAGAUUUAGGAACACAAUUGUCUCGGCUGUUAGGACUUGCAACUCAUUUCUUCCAGUGAUUCCCAUCAAUUAAAUAGAUGCAAGAUGUGUGCACUAUCAAAAGUGGAUCACACUUGGACUCGAAAGAUGCAUAUGUUACUGUCAUGCAUGUGAAGUUUGCAACAAAGAAAGGUGAACACCCAUUGUGCAAAAUCGAUAGCUACAUGAAAUGUAGUGAACUAAAGUGGGUUCAGCUUGAAGGCGAUCAACAGAAACUUCUCUUGUUAUUCGACAUAAAACGAAGGCAAGCAUAUUAACGCAUUUAAUGCCACACUCAGAUUGAUGUCAUGUCCAAGUUCUUCAAGCUGAUGAUGGUAGGUGUUCUGCUUCACUUCUUUCUCAUUGUUGAAGUUGUCCCAGGUUGUAUUCACUCUUAGAACCCCUCUAUUAUUUAUUUUUGAACAAAGCUUCCUUUUUUGUUACGUCCUAAAAUGAUAUCAAGCAAGACCAUUAUUUCUGUGGGUUGAGUAAAUCUAGAUUUUUUACUUGGCAUGAUGAGACAAUCUGGAGAAUGUAUACCAAUUAUGUUGUAUGCCUUUUAUAUUUAUCUACAUUACCGAGUGUAGCAUAUUAUUUGUUUCUAUCUUAGUCAAUUAUUACUCAUGCUAUGGUAUAUUUUUCUUUUGCUUCUUGAAAAUAAUUUAACCUAUGUUAUUGAGUCAUGUUAUAACAUAUUAUUCUUUUGCUUCUUGGAAAUAAUGUAACCAUAGAUUGUGCUUCAAAAUUAUUGUCGUCUUGACCAUCACCAUAUGCACAACAGGAACAAGGUCUGCUACUCAGCUUGCAUCAAUGCUACAACACUAGCUCUUGUAUAUGCUAGGAUUCCAAUGCGAGACACUGUCACAUCUUGUAGUGUUGUCUAUUUGUGUUCUACUCCUUUGCUCCACAGGAACCUACCUAAUUUUCAUAACUUUAGCAGUAGUCUUAUGGUAAUAAAAGUCAAACAAUAAUAAUGUAUUGUGCUAGAUCUGAAUUACCUCGAAGACAGUGUUGGGGGUUCCGAUGUCACUGUUGACAUCAUAUCCAAAUUUGUAUCAUUUUGUAUGGUGUGAUAUAUCUAGAAGCUCUAAGAAUUUUUGUCUUGUGCAGGUCCUGCAAUUAAUGAAUGAUUUGAACCAAAGUGUUCGAAAUGUUGUUCUCUUGUAUUGAGGCUUACUGUGUGCUUGAGGUUCUUCGACCUCUCUAUGAAUCCCCUAAGAUACCGGCACAAAAGAUAACUGUUGCGAUAUGUGUCAUUGAUCAAUUUCGUUGUUACUAGGAGUUUAAGGUAAAAGACAUAUGGCAUAUGAUGACUUGUGGACAUGUUAUUAAUGGAAUGUACUGUUAUAUAUAUUGAGUAUCUGUUUGAAU